CGAAAUGCGAUAAGUAAUGUGAAUUGCAGAAUUCAGUGAAUCAUCGAAUCUUUUAACGCACAUUGCGCCCGCCAGCACUCUGGCGGGCAUGCCUGUUCGAGCGUCAUUUCAACCCUCAGAACCCCUUGCGGGAUCUGGCGUUGGGGAUUGGCAUCCAGCCAGCCCCGAAAUCUAGUGGCGGUCCCUCCGCGACCUCCCCUGUGCAGUAGCGAUACCUCGCAGCGGGACAGCGGUCUGACCACGCCGUAAAACCCCCAACUUCUCAAGGUUGACCUCGAAUCAGGUAGGAAUACCCGCUGAACUUAAGC
rnacentral:misc_RNA from 1 species